rnacentral:rRNA from 1 species
ACGUACACUCCUGCGGGAGGCAGCAGUGGGGAAUUUUGGACAAUGGGCGAAAGCCUGAUCCAGCCAUGCCGCGUGCAGGAUGAAGGCCUUCGGGUUGUAAACUGCUUUUGUACGGAACGAAUCGGCCUUUUCUAAUAAAGAGGGCUAAUGACGGUACCGUAAGAAUAAGCACCGGCUAACUACGUGCCAGCAGCCGCGGUAAUACGUAGGGUGCAAGCGUUAAUCGGAAUUACUGGGCGUAAAGCGUGCGCAGGCGGUUAUGUAAGACAGUUGCGAAAUCCCCGGGCUCAACCUGGGAACUGCAUCUGUGACUGCAUAGCUAGAGUACGGUAGAGGGGGAUGGAAUUCCGCGUGUAGCAGUGAAAUGCGUAGAUAUGCGGAGGAACACCGAUGGCGAAGGCAAUCCCCUGGACCUGUACUGACGCUCAUGCACGAAAGCGUGGGGAGCAAACAGGAUUAGAAACCCCAGUAGUCCC